GAUGAACGCUGGCGGCGUGCCUAAUACAUGCAAGUCGAGCGAACAGACGAGGAGCUUGCUCCUCUGACGUUAGCGGCGGACGGGUGAGUAACACGUGGAUAACCUACCUAUAAGAAUGGGAUAACUUCGGGAAACCGGAGAUAACACCGGAUAAUAUAUUGAACCGGAUGGUUCUAUAGUGAAAGACGGUUUUGCUGUCACUUAUAGAUGGAUCCGCGCCGCAUUAGCUAGUUGGUAAGGUAACGGCUAACCAAGGCAACGAUGCGUAGCCGACCUGAGAGGGUGAUCGGCCACGCAGGAACUGAGACACGGUCCAGACUCGUACGGGAGGCAGCAGUAGGGAAUCUUCCGCAAUGGGCGAAAGCUUGACGGAGCAACGCGGCGUGAGUGAUGAGGGUCUUCGGAUCGUAAACUCUGUUAUUAGGGAAGAACAAAUGUGUAAGUAACUAUGCACGUCUUGACGGUACCUAAUCAGAAAGCCACGGCUAACUACGUG
rnacentral:rRNA from 1 species